rnacentral:lncRNA from 10 species
GCCUCGGCCUCCCAAAAUGCUAGGAUUACAGGCAUAAGCCACCACGCCCGGUCUUAAAUGUUUAUAAUAAUAGUGAGAGUUGAAAAUCUAAACAUGAUGUUUCUUUUAGUCAUUACCCUAGAUUGUUUGUUUACAUGUGUUACCCACCUUUGUCUUUUCCAAUUUUAACUAUGUGUUCCCGUUCUGGUUUUUUUUUUUUUCUUUUUUACAUCUGGACAAAGUAUUAUUUAUGACGAGGCAAAAUAUUUGAUUUAGAAGUUUCUGCUCUCCCUCUCCCUCUCCCUCGUCUCCUCUUUCCACGGUCUCCCUGUCCCUCGUCUCCCCUUUCCACGGUCUCUUCCUCGUCUCCCCUUUCCACGGUCUCCCUCUGAUGCUGAGCAGAGGCUGGACUGUACUGCCGCCAUCUCGGCUCACUGCAACCUCCCUGCCUGAUUCUCCUGCCUCAGCCUCCCGAGUGCCUGGGAUUGCAGGCGCGUUCCGCCACGCCUGACUGGUUUUCGUAUUUUUUGGCAGAGACGGGUUUCGCCGUGUUGGCCGAGCUGGUCUCCAGCUCCCGACCGCGAGUGAUCUGCCCGCUUCGGCCUCCCGAGGUGCCGGGAGUGCAGACGGAGUCUCGCUCACUCAGUGCUCAGUCUUGCCGGGGCUGGAGUGCAGUGGCGUGAUCUCGGCUCGCUACAACCUCCACCUCCCAGCUGCCUGCCUUGGCCUCCCAAAGUGCUGAGAUUGCAGCCUCUGCCCAGCCGCCACCCCGUCUGGGAAGUGAGGAGCGUCUCUGCCUGGCCGUCCAUCAUCUGAGAUGUGAGGAGCCCCUCUGCCUGGCAGCCCAGUCGGGGAAGUGAGGAGCACCUCUUCCCGGCCGCCAUCCCAUCUAGGAAGUGAGGAGCGUCUCUGCCCUGCCGCCCAUCGUCUGAGAUGUGGGGAGCGCCGCUGCCCCGCCGCCCCGCCGCCCCGUCUGGGAUAUGAGGAGCACCUCUGUCUGGCCGCGACCCCGUCUGGGAACUGAGGAGUGUCUCUGCCCGACCGCCACCCCGUCUGGGAGGUGAGGAGCGUCUCUGCCCGGCCACCCCGUCUGAGAAGUGAGGAGCCCCUCCGCCCGGCAGCUGCCCCGUCUGGGAAGUGAGGAGCCCCUCUGCCCUGCAGCCGCCCAGUCUGGGAAGUGAGGAGCGUCUCCGCCCAGCAGCCGCCCCGUCUGGGAGGGAGGUGGGGGGCAGCCCCCGCCCGGCCAGCUGCCCCAUCUGGGAGGUGAGGGGCGCCUCUGCCCGGCCGCCCCGUCUGGGAAGUGAAGAGCCCCUCUGCCCGGCUGCCACCCCGUCUGGGAGGUGUACCCAACAGCUCAUUGAGAACGGGCCAUGAUGACGAUGGCGGUUUUGUCGAAUAGAAAAGGGGGAAAUGUGGGGAAAAGAGAGAUCAGAUUGUUACUGUGUCUGUGUGGAAAGAAGUAGACAUGGGAGACUCCAUUUUGUUCUGUACUAAGAAAAUUCUUCUGCCUUGGGAUGCUGUUAAUCUAUAACCUUACCCCCAACCCCGUGCUCUCUGAAACAUGUGCUGUGUCCACUCAGGGUUAAAUGGAUUAAGGGCGGUGCAAGAUGUGCUUUGUUAAACAGAUGCUUGAAGGCAGCAUGCUCGUCAAGAGUCAUCACCACUCCCUAAUCUCAAGUACCCAGGGACGCAAACACUGCGGAAGGCCGCAGGGUCCUCUGCCUAGGAAAACCAGAGACCCUUGUUCACAUGUUUAUCUGCUGACCUUCCCUCCACUAUUGUCCUAUGACCCUGCCAAAUCCCCCUCUCCGAGAAACACCCAGGAAUGAUCAAUAAAUACUAUAUAAAAAAAAUAAAUAAAUAAAAAUUAAAAUUAAAAAAAAGUUUCUUUGAAAUACACAUAGAUUUAUCAAUACUUCCUUUCUAUAAACUUUCAAAGGUUCCUGCAGUCAUAGACAUUUUGAAAAAUGAGAUGUAUAGAAUUACCUUGAUGUGGUUAGUUUGGUUUGGUCUAUCGCCUUUCUUAAAAUACCACAUUGCUUUCUCAGCUGGCCACCAAAUAUCACCAGAAAGUUAUUAGUUCAUCUGAUUGGUAGACGUAUUAGGGUUCAGAGAUGUUCAGAUUCAACCUUAAUUGACCUCAUGCAAUUAAAUUCCCCAUAAAAGGAAAAUGUCCACAAAAUAUUUGAAUGUUUGUACUUUCAUGAUACCUGAAAUUCUCAAAUGGUAAUUUUUUUUAAGCUAGGCUUUUGUUUCUACUACAAUUUGGCUUCUAACAUUUCCCAUUAUGUUCAUGUGUGUCUGUGUGUAUAUACUUAAAGAAGUGCUAAGGCCAGGCAUGGUGGCUUAUGUCUGUAAUCCCAGCAAUUUGGGAGGCUGAGAUAGGAGGAACACUUGAGGCCAGAAGUUCAAGACCAGCCUGGUCAACAUAGUGAGACCCUUGUUUCUAAAAAAAUUUUUAAAUAUUACCCAGGUGAUAUGGUUUGACUGUGCCCCGACCCAAAUCUUGAAUUGUAGCUACCAUAAUUUCCAUGUGUCAUGGGAGGGACCUGGUGGGAGGUAAUUGAAUCAUGGGGGCAGGUCUUUCCCAGGUUGCUUUCAUGAUAGUGAAUAGGUCUCACGAGAUCUGAUGGUUUUAUAAAGGGGAGUUCCCCUACACAUGCUCCCUGUCUUGCCUGCCGCUAUGUAAGACGUGACUUUGCUCCUCCUUUGCCUUCUGCCAUGACUAUGAGACCUCCCCAGCCGCAUGGAACUGUGAGCCCAUUAAACCUCUUCU